rnacentral:rRNA from 1 species
UACGUAGGGGGCAAGCGUUAUCCGGAUUUACUGGGUGUAAAGGGUGCGUAGGUGGCAGGGCAAGUCAGAUGUGAAAGCCCGGGGCCCAACCCCGGUACUGCAUUUGAAACUGUCCGGCUGGAGUGCAGGAGAGGUAAGCGGAAUUCCUAGUGUAGCGGUGAAAUGCGUAGAUAUCGCGCAGAACCCCGAUUGCGAAGGCAGCGUGCCGUGCCGCCACUGACGCUGAGGCACGAAAGCGCGGGGAUCGAACAGG